rnacentral:rRNA from 1 species
GACGAACGCUGGCGGCGUGCCUAAUACAUGCAAGUAGAACGCACAGUUUAUACCGUAGCUUGCUACACCAUAGACUGUGAGUUGCGAACGGGUGAGUAACGCGUAGGUAACCUGCCUGGUAGCGGGGGAUAACUAUUGGAAACGAUAGCUAAUACCGCAUAAUAUUAAUUAUUGCAUGAUAAUUAAUUGAAAGGUGCAAUUGCACCACUACCAGAUGGACCUGCGUUGUAUUAGCUAGUAGGUGAGGUAACGGCUCACCUAGGCGACGAUACAUAGCCGACCUGAGAGGGUGAUCGGCCACACUGGGACUGAGACACGGCCCAGACUCCUACGGGAGGCAGCAGUAGGGAAUCUUCGGCAAUGGACGAAAGUCUGACCGAGCAACGCCGCGUGAGUGAAGAAGGUUGUCGGAUCGUAAAGCUCUGUUGUAAGAGAAGAACGGGUGUGAGAGUGGAAAGUUCACAAUGUGACGGUAGCUUACCAGAAAGGGACGGCUAACUACGUG